GGAACUAAACCCCCCUUUAGCUAGGGGGUGAUUCGAAACUAUGUUUAUGCUUGCAAUAUGAAUUGAUUAUCUUUGGUUGGAAUUUCAUAAGUUGUGGAUUCAAUUUGUUUAACCGUUUGAUUGAUAACUUAUUUAUGUAUGUUUAUUGAGAGUGCACGCUUAAUCUUCAUGCAUAAAUAUGAUGCUAGAAUAUAAGUGAGUUUCACCUAAUCGUUAUGAACUUAUAUUCACAAGUAGUGGAGGUUGCUUAUAAA
rnacentral:lncRNA from 1 species